GACGAACGCUGGCGGCGUGCUUAACACAUGCAAGUCGAACGGAAAGGCCCUGCUUUUGUGGGGUGCUCGAGUGGCGAACGGGUGAGUAACACGUGAGUAACCUGCCCUUGACUUUGGGAUAACUUCAGGAAACUGGGGCUAAUACCGGAUAGGAGCUCCUGCUGCAUGGUGGGGGUUGGAAAGUUUCGGCGGUUGGGGAUGGACUCGCGGCUUAUCAGCUUGUUGGUGGGGUAGUGGCUUACCAAGGCUUUGACGGGUAGCCGGCCUGAGAGGGUGACCGGCCACAUUGGGACUGAGAUACGGCCCAGACUCCUCCGGGAGGCAGCAGUGGGGAAUAUUGCACAAUGGGCGGAAGCCUGAUGCAGCAACGCCGCGUGCGGGAUGACGGCCUUCGGGUUGUAAACCGCUUUCGCCUGUGACGAAGCGUGAGUGACGGUAAUGGGUAAAGAAGCACGGGCUAACUACGUG
rnacentral:rRNA from 1 species